rnacentral:rRNA from 1 species
CCUACGGGAGGCAGCAGUAGGGAAUAUUGCUCAAUGGGGGAAACCCUGAAGCAGCAACGCCGCGUGGGGGAUGAAGGUUUUAGGAUUGUAAACUCCUUUUGUUAGAGAAGAUUAUGACGGUAUCUAACGAAUACGCACCGGCUAACUCCGUUCCAGCAGCCGCGGUAAUACGGAGGGUGCAAGCGUUAGUCGGCAUCACUGGGCGGAAGGGGUGAGUAGGCGGGGGAAUAAGUCAGCUGUGAAAUCCUGUAGCUUAACUACAGAACUGCAUUUGAAACUGUUCAGCUGGAGUGUGGGAGAGGUAGGUGGAAUUCUUGGUGUAGGGGUAAAAUCCGUAGAGAUCAAGAGGAAUACUCAUUGCGAAGGCGGCUUACUGGACUGUAACUGACGUUGAGGCUCGAAAGCGUGGGGAGCAAACAGGAUUAGAUACCCGAGUAGUC